GGUAACUGGGUGCAGGUCCCAGCCGCCGCACUAAACCCAGCCAGUGCGGUGAUUGGACGCAGAUUCCGGGCCGUGGCGGCGGCGGGCGAUCCGAAAGAGGCUGGUGCUGGCUGCAUGGGGAGGCGGCGGCAGCGGGUGGACCCCGCGGCUGGGGCCCGGGCCGGGGCCCUGCCUGAGGCCAUCGCCGCGUUGAGUCGGUCGCUGCCCUCGGGACCCAGCCCCGAGAUCUUCCGCCGCGCCAAGUUCGACCGUCCGGAGGCGGUGACGCUCGCGCAGAGGGCAGCCGGGCCGGGUGGGGGACCCGGGCCCUCGCAGGGAGUUGGGCCGGCUCCGCUGACCGCCCACUUUUUAUUUUCCGCAGACCUCCGCGCUCUGGCAGCUCCUCUUCCGUGUGCUCUCGCCACUCCCUGUGGGCAACGCCUUGGCCUCGCUCGCCCUGGAGGCCCAAGCCCACUUGGUGAAGUCAGCACUAUGCUCCCAGGGCUACCCGAGGCUAGCACUGGCACAACUACCUGAGGAUGGCUCGCAGGGCAGUCGGGAGCUGCUGCUGGCUCUGUCCUGGCUCUUGGCCCGAGGACCUGUGCCUGAGCAGAUGCUGGCCCAGGCCCGAGUGCCUCUGGGUGACGAGAUGACUGUGUGCCAGUGUGAGGCCCUGGCCAGCCCUGGCCCACCUGCACCCCACAUGGAAGCAGAGGGUCCUGUGGAUGUCCGCCGUGUGCAGUGGCUGAUGGGAAAGCUGCAAUUCCGGUGGCGCCAGCUGGUGUCCAGUCAGCAGGAGCAGU
rnacentral:sRNA from 1 species